UCUUCUUCCUGCCCUGCCAUACCCUUGGAUUGCUUCUCCUCUGUGAUGCCCCUCUGCCAUGCCACUCUGCCUCACCCAGCCCACCAUGAACUGAAACCUCUACAAACUACCCAGGGAUGAACUCGCCUGUGAGACAAACUCGGAGUAAGAGAGACAGCACAUGGAUCUCCCAGGAUGACUUCUGGACUUGGACGAGGGACACUGGUGUUGAGCUCAAAAUGUUUUCUCUCUCUCUUUUCCUUUUCAC